UACGGAAGGCAGCAGUGGGGAAUAUUGCACAAUGGGCGCAAGCCUGAUGCAGCCAUGCCGCGUGUAUGAAGAAGGCCUUCGGGUUGUAAAGUACUUUCAGUCGUGAGGAAGGUGUUAAGGUUAAUAACCUUAGCAAUUGACGUUAGCGACAGAAGAAGCACCGGCUAACUCCGUGCCAGCAGCCGCGGUAAUACGGAGGGUGCGAGCGUUAAUCGGAAUUACUGGGCGUAAAGGGCACGCAGGCGGUUAAUUAAGUUGGAUGUGAAAUCCCCGGGCUUAACCUGGGAAUGGCAUUCAAGACUGGUUAGCUAGAGUCUUGUAGAGGGGGUAGAAUUCCAUGUGUAGCGGUGAAAUGCGUAGAGAUGUGGAGGAAUACCGGUGGCGAAGGCGGCCCCUGGACAAAGCUGACGCUCAUGCGCGAAAGCGUGGGGAGCGAAACAGGGAUUAGAUACC
rnacentral:rRNA from 1 species